GAUGAAUGCUGGCGGCGUGCCUAAUACAUGCAAGUCGAGCGGUAACAGGUUCUCACUGUUUACUUCUCUCGGUUCGGACAGGACGCGGGGAUUUUCCAAAGGAAAUCAGCCGCAUCUUUAGCGAAAAGAGGAAUGAGGAGUAAAGAGUGAGAAUGCUGACGAGCGGCGGACGGCUGAGUAACGCGUAGGAACAUGCCCCAAAGUGAGGGAUAACGCACCGAAAGGUGUGCUAAUACCGCAUAUGGUCUUCGGAUUAAAGGAUUUAUCCGCUUUGGGAUGGCCUGCGUACGAUUAGAUUGUUGGUGAGGUAACGGCUCACCAAGUCGACGAUCGUUAACUGGUCUGAGAGGAUGAUCAGUCAGACUGGAACUGAGACACGGUCCAGACUCCUACGGAGGCAGCAGUAAGGAAUCUUCCACAAUGGGCGAAAGCCUGAUGGAGCAACGCCGCGUGCAGGAUGAAGGCCCUCGGGUCGUAAACUGCUUUAUGAGUGAAGAA
rnacentral:rRNA from 1 species